rnacentral:rRNA from 1 species
UACGGAGGAUGCAAGCGUUAUCCGGAAUGAUUGGGCGUAAAGCGUCCGCAGGUGGCUGUGUAAGUCUGCUGUCAAAGAGCAAAGCUCAACUUUGUAAAGGCAGUGGAAACUACACGGCUAGAGUGCGUUCGGGGCAGAGGGAAUUCCUGGUGUAGCGGUGAAAUGCGUAGAGAUCAGGAAGAACACCGGUGGCGAAGGCGGCAUCCUGGACCAACACUGACGCUGAGGAGCGAAAGCGUGGGGAGCGAACAGG